rnacentral:rRNA from 2 species
GGCGUAAGCGCGCGCAGGCGGUCCUUUAAGUCUGAUGUGAAAGCCCACGGCUCAACCGUGGAGGGUCAUUGGAAACUGGGGGACUUGAGUGCAGAAGAGGAGAGUGGAAUUCCACGUGUAGCGGUGAAAUGCGUAGAGAUGUGGAGGAACACCAGUGGCGAAGGCGACUCUCUGGUCUGUAACUGACGCUGAGGCGCGAAAGCGUGGGGAGCGAACAGGAUUAGAUACCCUGGUAGUCCACGCCGUAAACGAUGAGUGCUAAGUGUUAGAGGGUUUCCGCCCUUUAGUGCUGCAGCAAACGCAUUAAGCACUCCGCCUGGGGAGUACGGCCGCAAGGCUGAAACUCAAAGGAAUUGACGGGGGCCCGCACAAGCGGUGGAGCAUGUGGUUUAAUUCGAAGCAACGCGAAGAACCUUACCAGGUCUUGACAUCCUCUGACAACCCUAGAGAUAGGGCGUUCCCCUUCGGGGGACAGAGUGACAGGUGGUGCAUGGUUGUCGUCAGCUCGUGUCGUGAGAUGUUGGGUUAAGUCACGCAACGAGCGCAACCCUUGAUCUUAGUUGCCAGCAUUCAGUUGGGCACUCUAAGGUGACUGCGGGUGACAAACCGGAGGAGGGUGGGGAUGACG